GCCUAUGAUGCAUACUUUGAUUAUGGUUCUGAAAUGCAAUUAUUGCAUUUGAAGAAAGUUUUGUACUAGGACGGUCUGAGGC